GACAGAGGGUGCAAACGUUGUUCGGAUUUACUGGGCGUAAAGCGCAUGUAGGCGGCUUUGCAAGUCGGAUGUGAAAGCCCACGGCUCAACCGUGGAAGUGCAUCCGAAACUGCAUGGCUUGAGUCUCGGAGAGGAAGGUGGAAUGCUUGGUGUAGAGGUGAAAUUCGUAGAUAUCAAGCAGAACACCUGCGGCGAAGGCGGCCUUCUGGACGAUGACUGACGCUGAGACGCGAAAGCGUGGGGAGCAAACAGG
rnacentral:rRNA from 1 species